CAAGGCUUGAGGGUGUCUUGUUGAGGUUAAAAAGCAGGUAGAUGAGAGUAAGGGGAUAUAGAAAGGUAAGGUAGAUAAUAUGAGCAGAACAUCAAAUAUUCUUAAGUCUUUGGGCUUAAGGUCUCUGAAGUGGAAUAGUUUGGAGAUGAUGACAAGAUUUGGAGUGUGACCAUGUGGAUGAAGCAUCGGCGAAGUGAGAAGCAUUGGAGUCCAAGCUUCUACUGUGAAUGUAGAGUGACUUCUUGACCCAGGAAGGUGACCUGCCCAUUGUCAAUCAUCCAGAAUCCUAGUGACUUUUCAAGCCUUAUCCACCAUCCAGAGGCACAAAUAAUCAGUUCCUCUGGACAACCUGAGGACAACCUUAUUAUGGUGCAUCUCACCUUGGAUCCCACUUGUCUUGGUAGCAUCUCCCCCGAGGUACUGGCUGAGAUUCCAGAGGGGUAGGUUUGCCUGUUGGUGAAAGGAUGAAGUAAGAAGCUCUCUUUUAGUCAUAGGAUUAUGUAUGUUUCCAUUAGAAGAAUAUCUCCCUGGAUUUUGAAACAAAACAGCUGCUGCUAUCCAAAUAUGUAUAAAUGGUGGUAUAAAUGUAACACAUUAUAUUUCUUUUAACAUCUAUUUUUAUUACAUUGAUUCUUUUGGAAAAGUUGAUUGUUUCCAUACUUGCUCUGCACCCUCCUCUCUUCUUUGGUCUCCUCCUUUUGUACCUUCCACUCAUAGGGAGGAAGAAGGACCUUUUUGGAAAUGUAUGUAUACAAGGGCAGAAAUACUCAAGACUUUAAAGGGACAAGAAACAGUCCAUUAGAAAAAAAUUACAUCACUCCAAGAAGAUGGGAAUAAAGGUUGUUACAUUCUGAUCUGUAUGGCAGUGAAUAGGCAAAAGAAGGACCAGACUUUCAGACUUGGACAAGGACAAAGCUUCAGAGCAAUUCAUGGGGCAGAAUGUAAAAUAAAUAUUUGUAAAAUGAACAUAAAUAAUGAGAGAAUUUUUUAAGGAACUGCAGAAAUAAUAAAGAAAAUAACUGGUCAAUGUGUGUGGAUAUAGAAUCUUCGUCAUGAAGAAUCAU